GCAAGUUGAAGAGGUGUCUCUGCACCGUGCUCUGCCUUUGUUUUGUUUCUAGAUAAUUUUUUAUUUUCUUAUUUAUCAAAAACUUUGCUUUGCAAAGCACACCUGAAGAGCUCUCUGGUAAAUAUUAUUAAGCCACUCUGGAAGGCUGCAGGUCAGAACUUGAUCCAUCUUCAUGGGGCUCAUUACUCUCUGAAAGCAUUGUUGGGAGAUGUUGGAAAGCAGGGCAUGAGCAGCACAAACUGCAGCAGCGCUGUGGGACUGGGAAUGCUCAGCAAGGCUUGUCCCAGCACAGGGACACAUCCCUGGAUGUCCAUGGGAGCUGAACUGUGAAACAGGACCCAUCCUCCCUCCAGGGGAUAUCUGCUGCUCAUGGGCCAUUAAGGCUCACUGCAUGACUGACAAAAUUACAUCAUCUAUUGGGAGAUGCUCCACCCAGGGGGAGGAGCCAGCAUUCCUACCUGGAUAAACCCUGGGAUUCACUUCAUUCCCAGAGGAAGACCAGAUCCAUCUCUCCACCACUGGACCUUCAGAGGAAAACUACACCCUUCUACAGGAUCAUUGCUCCAACAGAACCACAUCUGUCACUCCAGGAGGACUUGAUUGGACUGCUGCCAACACCCUGACCAACAGGCUGUCAGGUUGUAUUCUGACUCUGUCAGUGUUUUCUUUUUGUUUGUUUGCUUUUUUUGGUACUGCUACAUUUUUAUUUUAAUUUUCCUAGUAAAGAACUGUUAUUUCUA